rnacentral:rRNA from 1 species
UACGGAGGGUGCAAGCGUUAUCCGGAUUCACUGGGUUUAAAGGGCGCGUAGGCGGCCUGUGCAAGUCAGUUGUGAAAUCUCCGAGCUUAACUCGGAACGGUCAACUGAUACUGCUCGGCUAGAGUGCGGAAGGGGCAACUGGAAUCUUGGUGUAGCGGUGAAAUGCGUAGAUAUCAAGAGGAACACCUGCGGCGAAGGCGGGUUGCUGGGCCGACACUGACGCUGAGGCGCGAAAGCUAGGGGAGCGAACGGG